CGGCAGGUAGCCUAGUGGUUAGAGCGUUGGGCGACAGGUAGCCUAGUGGUUAGAGCGUUGGGUGACUUGUAGCCUAGUGGUUAGAGCGUUGAGCCACUUGUAGCCUAGUGGUUAGAGCGUUGAGCCAGUAACCAGCAGGUAGCCUAGUGGUUAGAGCGUUGGGCGACAGGUAGCCUAGUGGUUAGAGCGUUGGGCGGCAGGUAGCCUAGUGGUUAGAGCGUUGGGCGACUUGUAGCCUAGUGGUUAGAGCGUUGGGCCAGUAACCAGCAGGUAGCCUAGUGGUUAGAGCGUUGGGCGACAGGUAGCCUAGUGGUUAGAGCGUUGGGCGACUUGUAGCCUAGUGGUUAGAGCGUUGGGCCAGUAACCAGCAGGUAGCCUAGUGGUUAGAGCGUUGGGCGACAGGUAGCCUAGUGGUUAGAGCGUUGGGCGGCAGGUAGCCUAGUGGUUAGAGCGUUGGGCGACAGGUAGCCUAGUGGUUAGAGCGUUGGGCGACUUGUAGCCUAGUGGUUAGAGCGUUGGGCCAGUAACCGAAAGGUUGCUGGAUUGAGACCCCAAGCUGACAAGGUAAAAAUCUGUCGUUAUGUCCCUGAACAAGGCAGUUAACCCAACGUUCCCCGGUAGGCUGUCAUUGUAAAUGAGAAUUUGUUCUUAACUGACUUGCCUAGUUAAAUAAAGGUUAUAUAUCUCAGCAAAAAAAUAAACUUCCCUUUUUCAGGACCCCGUCUUUCAAAGAUAAUUGGUUAAAAUCCAAAUAACUUCACAGAUCUCCAUCGUAAAGGGUUUAAACACUGUUUGCCAUGCUUGUUCAAUGAACCAUAGACAAUUAAUGAACAUGCACCUGUGGAACGGUCGUUAGCUUCUUAGGGCUGAAAUCCUGCUAACGGGAUCGAUAUGACAACAGCCAGUGAAAGUGCAGGGUGCCA
ensembl:lncRNA